CUGAUGAGUCCCAAACAGGACGAAACACAGUGUC
rnacentral:hammerhead_ribozyme from 2 species